rnacentral:lncRNA from 1 species
CGGUUACCCUUCUUAUUGCGGUUGGUCAAGUUCUUCUUAGGUAUAGGUCCACCUUCCUUUCCCUUCCCUUUCCUGUUCUAGUACCUUUUGCGCUUGGAGCCUGAAGCCCUUUGGGAGCUUGACUCGGCCAUAAAGGCCUGCCCACGAAGCCUCGCCGCUACAAGACGCUCGUCUUCAAGUUUCACAUGACGGGCAACAUCAGUGAAGGUCUUGAUGCUUUCAUUAUGGGUCAAAUUAACCUUCAUAUGCUCCCUAUUAUCAGGAAGAGAACGGAUCACAGCUUGCCCUUGCUGCUCAUCGGAGAAAAAAUGGCCAGCUGAUUUCAACUCAGUAAUCAUGUUUGAUAUCUCCCUUAGGUGUUGCUGAAUUGUAUGAUUGGGGUGCUUCUUGUAAGUGUCAAACUUGAUUGUCAGCUAUCUCAGUUUGGUCACCGAUGUGCGUCCAAACUUUUUCUUCAAAGCAUUCCAU